CCGUUGCAAGGGACUCCGAAGAGCUGUGGCAAGGGGUGAAAAGCCAAUCUAACCUGGAGAUAGCUGGUCUUCUGCGAAACCCGUUUUAGCGGGUCGCCCAUUUAUUGAAAUUAAAUUCGUUACUAGACGGUACGGCACUGGAAGCCACGCAGCUUUUGCUGCAUAAUCGGGGGGCUGUCAUGGCUCUAUCGAUGGCUUCUAAUCCCGGAAAUGUAUAGUAUACAAUGAUGGGCAAUCAGACGUAUCGUGAUAAGGCGAUUCGUCAAAAGGGCAACAGCCCAGAACAGGUGUGAAGGUCCCUAACAAGCUACUGAGUGAACACAAGGCAGUCCUCUCCAGUGUCUCUCCACAAAGUGGGCUUGGAAGCAGCCACCUUUUAGCGAUAGCGUAACAGCUCAGUGGUUUGAGCCUCCCUGUAAAAAGGGAAUAUUGCCUGGUGAGGGCGCCAAAAAUGUAACGGGUCUAUAGUAGUUGUCUCUCCGUUCCAGCUUUGGAUAUGGAGGGAGUGGCAGUUUCUUCACUGUCUCACCGAAACCCUGUCCUAGAUGUCAAAUUCUAGGGGUAGCAGAAUACCCAGCAAAUGGAAUGAAGCUUGCUCAUUGAGCCGGUGGACAUAGCUGGGCUAAGAAUGCUGACAUGAGUAGCCUAAAAGGAGGGUAAUUCCCUCUUCGCCGAAAGCAGAAGGGUUUCAUUUGUAAGGUCUAUACCUAGAUGAUUAAAGCAGCGGCCUCUAAGGUUCAGAGUAACAAAUUAGUUCCGAUGAGUAACUCUUCUAUAGGGCAGUAACCUUCCUUAUAAGUUUACCUUCAAGUAAUUAGAGGUAUACUUCAAAGAGUAAGGUUCGGGAAAGAGCCCUACGGAAUCAAUCUUAAAACCGUACCCUAAACCGACACAGGUCUGCAAGUAGAGCAUACUAAGGCGUAGAGAUAAUCGUCUUGAAGGAACUCGGCAAAAUGACCCCGUAACUUCGGGAGAAGGGGUGCCACUAAUAAGUGGCGGCACUAAACAGGGGGGCGCGACUGUUUACUUAAAACACCGGACUCUGCUAACACUAGCGUGGAUGUAUAGAGU
rnacentral:rRNA from 1 species